GACGAACGCUGGCGGCGUGCUUAACACAUGCAAGUCGAACGUAACGGCCCUGUUUUUGUGGGAUACUAGAGUGGCGACCGGGGGAGAAAAACGUGUGAAACCUCCCCUUGAAUUUGGGAUAACUUCAGGUGACUGGGGCCAAUACCGUUUUAGAGCUGAUGCUGUAUGGUGGGGGAUGGCACGUGUCGGGGGUUGGGGCUGGGCGCGCGGCUUCUCAGCUUGUCGGUGGGGUAGUGGCUUACCCAGGCUGUGCCGGGUAGCCGGCCUGGGAGGGUGACCGGCAAGAUUGGGACUGAGAUACGGCCCAGACUCCUCCGGGAGGCAGCAGGGGGGAUUAUUGCACAAUGGGCGGAAGCCUGAUGCAGCAACGCCGGGUGCGGGAGGACGGCCUGCGGGUUGUAAACCGCUUUCGCCGGUGACGAAGCGUGAGUGACGGUAAUGGGUAAAGAAGCACCGGCUAACUACGUG
rnacentral:rRNA from 1 species